rnacentral:tRNA from 1 species
GAGUAUAUAACUCAGUGGAUAGAGUACCAGAUUCCGAUCCUGGUGGUCGUGGGUUCAAUUCCCUCUAUACUCA